rnacentral:rRNA from 1 species
UACGUAGGGUGCGAGCGUUAAUCGGAAUUACUGGGCGUAAAGCGUGCGCAGGCGGUUUGUUAAGUCAGAUGUGAAAGCCCCGGGCUCAACCUGGGAACUGCAUUUGAAACUGGCGGGCUUGAGUGUGGCAGAGGGGGGUGGAAUUCCGCGUGUAGCAGUGAAAUGCGUAGAGAUGUGGAGGAACACCGAUGGCGAAGGCAGCCCCCUGGGCUAACACUGACGCUCAUGCACGAAAGCGUGGGGAGCAAACAGG